rnacentral:rRNA from 1 species
UACGUAGGGGGCAAGCGUUGUCCGGAAUCAUUGGGCGUAAAGCGCGUGUAGGCGGCUCGGGUAGUCUGGUGUGAAAUCUUUCGGCUCAACCGGAAGCGGUCACUGGAUACUCUCGGGCUUGAAUCUGGAAGAGGAGAGUGGAAUUCCUGGUGUAGCGGUGGAAUGCGCAGAUAUCAGGAGGAACACCAAGUGGCGAAGGCAGGCUCUCGUCGGUACAUGAUUGACGCUGAGACGACGAAGCGUG